CGGCUAAGAAGGAGCAACAUGCAGAAGAAGGAGUCUGUGCUGUGAAGAUCUGCAGCUGUAAGAAAACACCAAGAGAAGUCCGUGACAUCACAGGCAUAAUUCAACAUCUUUUGGGCACGAAGGAAGAUAUUAUUCUUCUCAUUAUACUGACGGUGCAAGAUGUUUUCUAUUACCAACUGUAUGGCUGUCUCUUCUUCCACUGGAUCUUCAGAGGAAGAAUACAUCCUUCUCUACAGGACCCCCUUGCUCCAACAGAACCCCACAUGACCCUUCAGGAGGACUUCAGCCACAUUUCCAUUUGGACUG